UACGUAGGGACCAAGCGUUGUCCGGAAUCAUUGGGCGUAAAGAGCGUGUAGGCGGCUUGUUAAGUCUUGCGUGAAAUCUCGGGGCUCAACCCCGAGCGGUCGUGAGAAACUGGCAGGCUAGAGUGCGGGAGAGGAGAGUGGAAUUCCCGGUGUAGCGGUGAAAUGCGCAGAUAUCAGGAAGAACACCCGUGGCGAAGGCGGCUCUCUGGAACGCAACUGACGCUGAGACGCGAAAGCGUGGGGAGCAAACAGG
rnacentral:rRNA from 1 species